ACAUAAGUGGUCAAACAAAUAGCGUAUCUUUGGUGCGCGCUUCUUUCAUUAAUACAAUUACUCGAAUAGAUUAGUUCUAUGAUGGCUUAAGUUUGAAAGAGAAUACCCAAGAGAAUGCACCUUUUUGUUGAAACGAGCCAAUCAGAACCUUAAAAUACAAUAAGUUCUGUUUAAUUACUCAGGUCAUCAGGAAAAGCGCUGGUUUGUACUUUGUUUGCAUCCUUUUAUCACAGAGACUGAUUAAACAUCACCAAGACAUUCGGGAGUCUGCCACAAAAUGAACCACAACUUCUGACAUAAAACCUCUUCCACAACAGAAAUCUUCCUGGAAAUCACCAUGAGAGUGCGGGGCGGGUGGUCCGUGUGGUUCCUGGUCAUUUUGUUACGUGUGUCCAGCCAGAAAGUCGAUCGACAGACCUAUGUGUUUCUCGAUGGAGAUGUCAUAAUCGGUGGCCUGUCGCCUGUCCAUUUUUCGCCCACAGAAAAAGAGGAAAUGGACGACCCCGACUCGUACACGUGUACGAGUGCUGACUACGCGGUCCGAGAGUCGCUGAAUUUCUCUUUUAUUCGUAACGCACAUUUACAAGUUGGCAAACACUGUGCGGGUUACGACGAUAAUCGCAAGGCUCGUAAAAAGACUGUGGCGGUGAUAGGCGCAGCAUAUAGCGGAGCUUCAAUGGCUGUCACUAAUCUUUGCAGUCUCUUUUACGUGCCGUUGGUCAGUUACGCAUCGACGAGUCACCGUCUAAGGAACACAGUGCAGUUUCGAUACUUUUUCCGUACAGUUCCCAGCGAUAUGUUACAAGCCCAAGUAAUGGCGGAUCUUGUUAGAUACAUGAACUGGAAUCUGGUCAUCACUUUGGCUUCCGAUACCGAGUAUGGGAGAUCGGGGAUUGAGGCAUUUAAGAACGCCGUACUUCGCUUUGAUGACUAUCCUGUUUGCGUGGCGGUAGACGAAACCUUCACCAAGCGCUCGGACAAGAAAACAUUUCAGAAGAUUUCGACAAAAUGAGUAAAAAUCCACGUGCGAGAGUGAUUAUUCUGUUUGCGGAACUUCAUGACGCGGAUAUAUUAAUCUCUAAAUUUCGCGAGCGAUUUGACAAGUCUCAUCAAUACGUGUGGAUAGGAUCUGAUUCAUGGGCAGACUCGAGACAAAUCGUCAAGACAAACGAAGACAUUCUCAGCGGCAUGUUUGCGAUUGUUCCAGAGGUGAGACGUAUCAAGGGGUUUGACGAGUUUUUCGUGAAUUUUAAUAAAAGGAGAAGGGAUAGAAAUAUAUGGAUGCACGAAUACGAGGAGUUUAAUGUAUGGCACGAUCCUGCCUUCCACAGACUGACAUUCGAGCAUUACCCCAAAGCCGCGUAUGUCGUUGACGCGGUGUUAGCCACAGCUUACGCAUUGCACGAUCUGCUGGGGUGUCAACCAUACAAGGACUGCAACGGACAAAAAAGCAAAAUACAAUCAAUAGAAUUCCAGAAACAAUUUGUUAACUACUUGGAAAAUUUCCAGCGUUUUCAAAGGAUACGUUUUCGUUUGACCAAAGCAGCGAUGCCAUCGGCUUAUAUGAUAUCAAGCACCUAAAGCUAGAAGGGGACUAUUACGGGUUCUCCCGGAUCGGGCGCUGGGGGGCGACCCAGAAUUGCGCGUCCGCUAUGUCUAACGACAGCUAUACCCUGUGCCUUCAGAUCCAAAGGAAAAACCUCGACCCAAGACUUGUGAACAAGUCAAUAAACAAUAUCCCAUUCUCAAGGUGUAGCGCGUCCUGUCCGGCGGGCUAUCACAAAGUGUCCGAGAAAAGACACGCUAAGUGCUGCUGGACAUGCCGCCGUUGCUCUGGAAACACGAUCACUAAUACUUCAGACUGGGAUGACUGUAUAAGGUGCCCUCGAGGUUAUUGGUCGAGUGCAGACCACUCAAGGUGUGAGCUGAUUACGCCGGAUUACCUACACUGGUCUGACCCCCUUGCUGUGUGCAUUGUGGGUAUUUCUGGCGUGGGGAUAGCUAUGGUUGAAUUCUCGUUCUGUGUAAUUUUUCUUCAUCGUCAGACCCCGGUGGUGCGCGCAUCGAGUGUUGAGUUGUGCUACGUGCUUCUUAUGGGGAUAGCCUGGUGUUACCUAACCCCACUGUUCUUCAUCGCGAAGCCAUCAGACUUGAUCUGCCGUGCGAUUCCUUACAUGACCGGGCUUUGUCCCGCGCUGAUCGUAGGCACGCUACUCACCAGAACAAACCGCAUUUCCCGCAUUUUCAACCGCAAACUGCGUAACACCCAGCUGCUUGUCGAAGAAGUUACUAAUGGUGGCGUGGCUAUCCUUGGUAGAAGUCGUGAUUUGUGGCGGUAACAUGCUCGCCACAGACAAUGGCAGUAAGCUCGUCGUAUCCGACUCUAAAAACGAAGUUCUGAUCGAGUGCAAGUCUCUACCGGAUAUUGGGCUAGCCAUUUGGUGGGCAUACAACGCAGGUCUAGUGAUCACGUGCACAUACCAAGCAUUCUUGACGCGUAAACUCCCAGAGAACUACAACGAGGCAAAGUUCAUCACCUUGACUAUGCUGAUCACGUGCAUUGUGGUAACCGUGUUUGUGCCCACGUACAUAGGGACCAGCGGUGUGUACCGAACCAGCAUCACGUGUUUCGUGUUCAUCAUUGGCAGGUCAGCAACUCUUGGGUGUAUAUUUGUCCCUAAGCUUUACAUCAUCGUGUGGAGACCAGAGAAAAAUAUCCCGAUGCAACCACGAGGGCAUUCGUUACGCCUCGGCACCAUCACCCCGAACACAUCGAUAAAGCGCCGAGUGAGUAUCGAUCCAUCAGAUAGCCAUAGCAUCAACUCGACGCCUUUGAUAAAGUCCACGCCGACUUUGGUGAGAAAAUUCUAAAAACAAAGAUCGCUAUCAUUGAGCCCGGAUAUGUUCACAAACGUUCGAAUGGGACCGGAGCUGAAGAUUAGUACCUCGAUGCCUCAGGAUUUAGAGGCUGUGAAGUUCAAAGAUAGAGACGAGCGCACCGAUGGGUGUGCGGCUAUUGGGGGUACAGUGGGACAAGGGCGUGGUCUGCAUCGCAUCUCGAACAGUAUUGAAUUCCCUCAUUCCAGCAAUGAUAUUUUCAUGGAGCUAGACGAAGAAGAAAGCGAAUGUGAUGCGACAGAUCGCCUCCUAAGCCUAACGCCAUCGCCAAACCCGUUUACAAACGGCAUCAACAGAACUACCAAUUGUACUUCUUGGAAACAACACGAACCAACUCGAUAGGUUCGAGAGCUCCCCCGAGAGUGGAAAGUGACGUCUCAGACGAGAGCGUUGCCCCCCGUGAGCUUGUUGGCCGUCGGCGGACCACCUCCGACGCCAAAAACGAUAAUUACCGGAUGGAUCUACACGAAAAUAGGAACACAACAAGCGUGCAUAAGCCAAGUUUCAAGAAUGGCUGCUCCACUUCGGUGCACUGCUACCACCAAAAAUAUGAAAAUAUUCUAAAAGUUCUAACGCGGAGACAACUGAGUGAGGGUUAUUUGCUUCCUGAUAACACAACGAACAGUCCGCGCAAGGUCUCAUACCCACUGUACAAGGAUGGUAGACUUGGCGAUCAAGUACCCGUUUGCUAUUGCCAGGAACAGGCAAGAAGUCAAGGGAACAGCAACCGGUGACAGCCCUUUGAACUAAGGUGUGGCGCUUGUGAUGGCUAGUCCGUCGUCGCGGUAGAGUCCUACGUUGAUGUUAAGGUCGAGGACAAAGAACAAGACAGCAUCCAACUUUAUAUAUAUAUAUUCUGUUUCACCACAAACAUCAAGCUCAUUGACGGCUCGUUAAAUGUUUGUGGACGUGACUUCGACAUCCUAACAUUAUCAAAAGCCCUAAAGCUCCCACAAUUCAAAUCUCCUUUUUUUCAGGUCAAUAAUGCACAAAAAUAUAAAGCAAGUGGUACCAGAGGACACGUAACACGGAAAAAAGUCUAAAAUUAUACGCUAAGAGUUCCAGCUCCAGGAGCAAAAAAAAUGUCUGGUAAUAGUUACUAAAUUCUAAAGAUCUUCUAGCCAGUUGUGUGUAAUUUUAUUUACAAUCUGUAUUGUUAUUGGUAUAAUAAAAAUAUUCUUUUUUUGUUA